rnacentral:rRNA from 1 species
CCCGCUGAACUUAAGCAUAUCAAUGAGCGGAGGAAAAGAAACUAACAAGGAUUCCCCUAGUAACUGCGAGUGAAGCGGGAAAAGCUCAAAUUUAGAAUCUGGUGGUCUUUGGCCAUCCGAGUUGUAAUUUAGAGAAGCGUCUUCCGCGCUGGACCAUGCAUAAGUCUCCUGGAAUGGAGCGUCAUAGAGGGUGAGAAUCCCGGUCUCUGGAAUGGACCCCCAGGGCUUCUGUGAUGCGCUCUGAAAGAGUCGAGUGUUUGGGGAAUGCAGCUCAAAAUGGGUGGUGAACUCCAUCUAAAGCUAAUAUUUGCGAGAGACCGAUAGCGACAAAGUACCGUGAGGGAAAGAUGAAAAGCACUUUGGAAAGAGAGUGAAACAGUACGUGAAAUUGUUGAAAGGGAAACGCUUGAAGUCAGUCGCGUCGACCGAGACUCAGCCUCGCCUUGGCUUGGUGUACUUCUCGGCUGACGGGUCAGCAUCAAUUUCGAUCCUUGGAUAAUGGCAAGGGAAAGGUAGCACCUUUACAGGUGUGUUAUAGUCCUUUGUCGGAUGCAAGGGUUGGGAUUGAGGAACUCAGCACGCACCUCAUCGGUGUCGGGGCCUUUUGGCCUACGUUACGUGCUUAGGAUGCUGGCAUAAUGGCUUUAAACGACCCGUCUUGAAACACGG